rnacentral:lncRNA from 1 species
UUUUUUUUUUAACAACCAAAAAAAUCUAUUAAUCAAUUGAGGUGUCUGUCUGAUGUGUUAUUGAUUGUAUAUGUCUUAUUUUCAGGAUCCCAUUAUCACUAUGGCAAUGUUUAUCCUUUCCCUGUUUCCCUGUGCUGUGUUUGCUCUGAGCGGUGCAGCAGAGGAUCCCCAUGUCAUGGAAAACAACAUGGAACAGAGCCCACCUGCUGUGGGACUGUGAGCAAUUUGGAGCAAAACUUGCAUCCGUCCACACCUCUGAAGAGUGUAAUUUUGUGCAAGAGGUGAUCAGACAGAGGACUUUACCCCUGCCUGGAUUGGAGGAUCUGAUGCUGUUCAGAGUGACGGCUCCAAAUUUGGCUACAGGAACUGGCUCGCAGGAGAAACCAAUAAUGUUGGUGGCAGUGAGCCAUGCAUGAUGACGAACUGAAGAGUUGAAAAAGGCCGGAAUGAUGUUCAAUGGGAACGUACACUUCCAUCUGUGUGCUCCAAAAGGACAUGUUAAAUCUACCAUCGUGACAUCAACUGGACCUCAACUGAACCCCUUUUGUUUUUGUUGUAAUAACCUUUUUUCAUGAAAACUAUACAGUAUUCUUAUAGAAUGGGAAUAUAUGGUAGGCCUAUAGUUUUUAGGAAUCAUAGUCAAGCGUGAGACUUAACUUAAGGGGGCUUUUCUAUCAUGUAAGUAGGCUCUCGUCAAUCUUUUCAAUUCUGCUAAUCGUGUCAAAU